rnacentral:rRNA from 1 species
AUUGAACGCUGGCGGGAGGCCUAACACAUGCAAGUAGAGCGAGCGGCGGCCGGGUGCGUACUGGCUGGGAAACUGCCUGGUGGAGGGGGAUAACUACUGGAAAAGGUAGCUAAUACCGCAUACCAUCAGAGGUGCCCAGAUGGGAUUAGUUAGUAGGUGGGGUAAUGGCUCACCUAGGGGCCGAUCCAUAGCUGGUCUGAGAGGAUGACCAGCCACAAUGGAACUGAGACACGGUCCAGACUCCUACGGGAGGCAGCCGUGGGGAAUAUUGCACAAUGGGCGCAAGCCUGAUGCAGCCAUGCCGCGUGUAUGAAGAAGGCCUUCGGGUUUUAAAGUACUUUCAGCAGGGAGGCGUUACCCGCAGAAGAAGCACCGGCUAACUCCGUGCCAGCAGCCGCGGUAAUAC